rnacentral:rRNA from 1 species
GAUGAACGCUGGCGGCGUGCCUAAUACAUGCAAGUAGAACGCUGAAGGAGGAGCUUGCUCUUCUGGAUGAGUUGCGAACGGGUGAGUAACGCGUAGGUAACCUGCCUGGUAGCGGGGGAUAACUAUUGGAAGCGAUAGCUAAUACCGCAUGACAACAGUUAUUGCAUGAUAACUGUUUAAAAGGGGCAACUGCUCCACUACCAGAUGGACCUGCGUUGUAUUAGCUAGUUGGUGAGGUAACGGCUCACCAAGGCGACGAUACAUAGCCGACCUGAGAGGGGGGUGGGCCACGCUGGGAGUGGGACACGGCCCAGGCUCCUUCGGGAGGCAGCAGUAGGGGAUCUUCGGCAAUGGACGGAAGUCUGACCGAGCAACGCCGCGUGAGUGCAGAAGGUUUUCGGAUCGUAAAGCUCUGUUGUAGGAGAAGAACGAGUGUGAGAGUGGAAAGUUCACACUGUGACGGUAUCUUACCAGAAAGGGACGGCUAACUACGUG